GACGAACGCUGGCGGCGUGCUUAACACAUGCAAGUCGAACGAUAAAGCCAGCUUGCUGGUGGAUUAGUGGCGAACGGGUGGGUAACACGGGGGUGAUCUGCCCCAAACUUUGGGAUAAGCCUGGGCAACUGGGUCUAGUACCGAAUAUGACCGAUAGUCGCAUGGGUGUUGGUGGAAAGCUCCGGCGGUUUGGGAUGGGCCCGCGGCCUAUCAGCUUGUUGGUGGGGUAAUGGCCUACCAAGGCGACGACGGGUAGCCGGCCUGAGAGGGCGACCGGCCACAAUGGGACUGAGACACGGACCAGACUCCUAUGGGAGGCAGCAGUGGGGAAUAUUGCACAAUGGGCGCAAGCCUGAUGCAGCGACGCCGCGUGAGGGAUGACGGCCUUCGGGGUGUAAACCUCUUUCACCAGGGACGAAGCGAAAGUGACGGUACCUGGAGAAGAAGCACCGGCUAACUACGUG
rnacentral:rRNA from 1 species